rnacentral:rRNA from 1 species
AUUGAACGCUGGCGGCAUGCUUUACACAUGCAAGUCGAACGGUAGACCCUUUCGGGGGUUGAGAGUGGCGAACGGGUGAGUAAUGCAUCGGAACGUGCCUAGUCGUGGGGGAUAACGUAGCGAAAGUUACGCUAAUACCGCAUACGCACUGAGGUGGAAAGCGGGGGACCGUAAGGCCUCGCGCGAUUGGAGCGGCCGAUGUCGGAUUAGCUAGUUGGUGAGGUAAAGGCUCACCAAGGCGACGAUCCGUAGCGGGUCUGAGAGGAUGAUCCGCCACACUGGGACUGAGACACGGCCCAGACUCCUACGGGAGGCAGCAGUGGGGAAUUUUGGACAAUGGGCGCAAGCCUGAUCCAGCCAUGCCGCGUGCGGGAAGAAGGCCUCGGUGUAA